ACGAAAAAUAACGAUACGGGACUCAUCCGAGGCCCCGUAAUCGGAAUGAGUACACUCUAAACCCUUUAACGAGGAUCAAUUGGAGGGCAAGUCUGGUGCCAGCAGCCGCGGUAAUUCCAGCUCCAAUAGCGUAUAUUAAAGUUGUUGCGGUUAAAAAGCUCGUAGUCGAAUUUGUGUCCCGCGCCGCCGGUUCAUCGCUCGCGGUGUCAACUGGCGUGUCCGCGGGACGUCCUGCCGGUGGGCUUAGCCCCUUUCGGGGGGCGGCCCAAUCUCAAUCCCACCGCGGUGCUCUUCACUGAGUGUCGAGGUGGGCCGGCACGUUUACUUUGAACAAAUUAGAGUGCUUAAAGCAGGCUAAAACAUCGCCUGAAUACUGUGUGCAUGGAAUAAUGGAAUAGGACCUCGGUUCUAUUUUGUUGGUUUUCGGAACCCCGAGGUAAUGAUUAAUAGGAACGGAUGGGGGCAUUCGUAUUGCGACGUUAGAGGUGAAAUUCUUGGAUCGUCGCAAGACGGACAGAAGCGAAAGCAUUUGCCAAAAACGCUUUCAUUGAUCAAGAACGAAAGUUAGAGGUUCGAAGGCGAUCAGAUACCGCCCUAGUUCUAACCAUAAACGAUGCCAGCUAGCGAUCCGCCGACGUUCCUCCGAUGACUCGGCGGGCAGCUUCCGGGAAACCAAAGCUUUUGGGAUCCGGGGGAAGUAUGGUUGCAAAGCUGAAACUUAAAGGAAUUGACGGAAGGGCACCACCAGGAGUGGAGCCUGCGGCUUAAUUUGACUCAACACGGGAAACCUCACCAGGCCCGGACACCGGAAGGAUUGACAGAUUGAGAGC
rnacentral:rRNA from 1 species